rnacentral:rRNA from 1 species
AUUCCAGCUCCAAUAGUGUAUAUUAAAGUUGUUGCAGUUAAAAAGCUCGUAGUUGGAUUUCUGGCAUGAUGCGCCUGGCCCGCCUCGAUUACGAGUGUGUGUGCUAGUGCGCGUCUGCCAUCCAUUUGCAAAACGUUCUACCUUUCAUUAGGCCGGAUACGUGAUGUAAAUCUUUUACUUUGAAAAAAUUAGAGUGUUUAAAGCAGGCAUUUGCUAUGAAUACAUUAGCAUGGAAUAAUAAUCUAGGACUUUGGUUCUAUUUUGUUGGCUUCUAGAUCUGGAGUAAUGAUUGAUAGGGAUAGUUGGGGGUGCUAGUAUUAAGGGGCCAGAGGUGAAAUUCUUGGAUUCUCUUAAGACUAACUUAUGCGAAAGCAUUCACCAAGGAUGUCUUCAUCA